GCAAUGCGUUCCAGCCCCUGACCCUCCGCAUUGCUGGAGGUCGUGCAGGGUCAUCUGAGUGCACAGAGACAUAAGUUUGGGAGGGGGUAGAAAUUUAAUAAGAAAGAAAGAAAGAAAGGUGUCUGCAUACGCAGUACCCUCCGUGGAUCAUCUGGGGGAAGGUAAGGUGAUGAAAUCUUCCUCCCUGCCUACCCGCCAAGCCCUUCUCACAGAUCGUGAGAAAGGGCUCUAAGAUUGCUUGCAUGCUGCUGCCGCUGCUGCAGCUGCUGGCUUGGUAGGUAGCAUGGCCUGAGAAUGCAUUGCUGAGCACCCAUCUACAGAUGGGAGGAGGAGUCAUACUGUCUUCAUUUCAGGCAGCAAAAUGUAUUGGGCCACUCCUUAAAAAGUUACAAGGCCGGGAGAUAUGGCAGAAGGAACAAAAAUCCUGGGGCAUGUGUGAACAGAAUUGGGACUUCGGUGCAUUAGUACAAACUGUAACACCACAGGAGCUGUUUGAGGAAGCUUCGUAAGGAGCACUGGAACACCUGCAGAAGGCGGUGAGCUCAGCUUCGAGCAGAACAUGUGAGGAGGGUCUGAGAAUAGCAUCCAUGAGAGGCAAUGAAAAUCUCCCGCUGAGUGCCUGACUAGUAGGAAACCAACGGAAGCUCCCUCUUUAAACACUGGCCGGCUGCCCAUAAGCAUCAGAAUGCCCAUCAAGAGCAAGUGAUUUUCAGCAGUAGAAAGAGACCUACUCUGCAGCGAUAACAGAAGUAGUCCUUUGUGUCUGACUCCUGCUGUCUGAAGUGAUCCUAGUCCUUUUGAGACUAGUGGUAGUAGCAGUCCUACUUCUAUAACCACCGCCUGAACAACACUCUGUUGGAUUUAAGCUUGCAGCCCAGUCCUCACUGUGUUUAUUUUUUAUUUGUUUUUC